GUGGAUUAGAUACCCUGGUAGUCCACGCUGUAAACGAUGUGUGCUAGACGUUGGGGGGUUGCCUCCCGGUGUCGCAGCCAACGCGUUAAGCACACCGCCUGGGGAGUACGGCCGCAAGGUUAAAACUCAAAGGAAUUGACGGGGGCCCGCACAAGCGGUGGAGCAUGUGGUUCAAUUCGACGCAACGCGAAGAACCUUACCAGCUCUUGACAUGGGUAGUAUGGGCCUGGGCGACUGGGCUCUUCAGUUCGGCUGGCUACCACACAGGUGCUGCAUGGCUGUCGUCAACU
rnacentral:rRNA from 1 species